rnacentral:ncRNA from 1 species
ACGGAAGCCCGGCAAGGCCAAGGCCGAUCCGGAAGAGAAGGAUCGUUCUCCCGACCCGGGCACCCAGCACGGUUCCUCGGCACCCACGCGGAGUCAUAGCCGCGAAGAUGGCAGAAGUGUUGCGGGCCUGCGUAAUUGCGAAAAACGGAAGAUGUCGACGGCCCUUUGGGUGGGGUUGCAGUCGGAAGUUUCGCAAACGCGCCGAGGCCACCCACGCAACCCAGAAGUGCACGCUUGGUAACCGAGGGCUGUGCUGCCGGGGCGGCGAUUCGAACCUCGUUCGGGUCGCCGCCCUUUUACACU